GCUAUUGCUGUGGGAACACUUCCUUUCCUCAACCUGCAAACUGGGGAGCAAUUGCAAUGGUCCCUGUUUAAAAGGAGGAGGAAGUCGGGAGUAAAUGGGACUAAGCAGGAGCCUGCAGGGCUGGGGACAAAAAGGGCUUCGAAGGGCAGCUGCCGUCCCCUUUGCCAAGGGUAAAUCCUGACAUCUCUGCUGCACUCUGACUAGCGAGGAAGCUUCAGGGAUGAGCUCAGAUGGAGAUGUCUMCCCUGCAGACAUCUAAGGAUGCCUUUGCCAUCCUAUCUCUCUAUUUCUUACUUCUGUGUGGGCUGAUCGGGGAAAGCCAUUYCAGAAGCCCGUGGGGAAAGAGAAGCCUUGCUACA